ensembl:lncRNA
UUCCCGAGAUAAUGAGUGGAAAUCUGUCAGUUAUUUUAUAGGAUGCUUAAAAUGACUACAACUUCAGCGGGAGAUUUCAGGAUCGCAGCAGCCUAGAGCGCAGCCAACCGGGCUCCCACAGGAAGGCAGAGGAGAGGACGGGGGGAAUAGCGGAGGCAGAAAAUGAAUACAGACAAUUGUUUUUCAUCAGCUGAGAUGGAGCAGGGACACGAUCAAACAGGACUGAGACAAAUUAGAUAACAGAGGAAGGAGACUGAAAGACAGCCGUGCCUGCUGUUCCCAUCACUGCUCUGUCUUGUGAACGUAUUUGUAGUUUUAACCAUGAGCUGGCUCCUAAUGGUGUUUUUUUUUUGUAUUUUGCCCCCUCUGCCCUCCCCAUAGCUUCAGCUGGAGAAGCAGGUUUCACUAUUUGCAGCCACAUCUGUUUAGAGUGGCGGUUCCCCGCGUGAGUUCGUGGCCUUUAAAUCUCCAUUUUUGUGUUUACUCACUAAAUGCAAAUGCGUUAAGGAGAGCCCUUUCAUCGCGGAAUUAACUUUCCGGUCAUACUACAACCCUGAGUCGACAGAAGUUAAGAAAUGUGACAUUCUGAGGCUUUUUCUCCAUCUAUUAUUAACACCGGUGUUCUGGAUCUAGGAAACCUCGGGGCGUUUGGCCUCUUUGUCAUAUAUGAUUUUCCCUGACAAGUGUCCAGGUAAGCGCUGUCUGCCACACUCUCCUGCAAGCUCCUCCGCCCCCAUAGGUGGAGUAAUUGGUGUCAGACAGUUUUGCUUCUUACACUUCUCAUUUGGAGGAAGAAAAAAAAAAGAAAACCUGCCUGAUGCGCUGCUGUGUUCCAGCUUGGCUUGGCAGUCAUUCCAGCUAAAGGGCCACACUUUAACAGAGCAUUUCAUCACCCGGCGCGGACUGCAAACUGAUUUCAGUCAGGCGGCAGCAUCCUCCUCUUCAGGUUCUGCUCAAGCAUGAAAAUCACCUACGAGCUGAGCAGCUUGCUGCUGCAGGAAACCAGUGCAAAACCUCCAGUGCUCUUUGCUAUAAACUCUGGACACCUGACGAACAGGUCGACUCCCAAAAUGCUCCAGAAAUUUCCAGUAUCAUCAGUCCCAUGGGUUUGUUUUGGUCACUGUGAGAGCACUGAUGAAUUUGUCCGGUAAAAUAAAUAAAAUAUCACAACGACUGAUAUUCAAAAUCCUUGACAGACAAUAUGAAAGGUGUUGCUCAUACCAAUU